rnacentral:rRNA from 1 species
UACGGAGGGAGCUAGCGUUGUUCGGAUAUACUGGGCGUAAAGCGCACGUAGCGGCGCCGUAAGUCAGGGGUGAAAGUCCCGGAAGCUCAACUCCAGAACUGCCUUUGAUACUGAGGAUCUUGAGUUCGGGAGAGGUGAGUGGAACUGCGAGUGUAGAGGUGAAAUUCGUAGAUAUUCGCAAGAACACCAGUGGCGAAGGCGGACUCACUGGCC